AGAAAAUUGCAUUUCUCUGUUGACCAUGCCACCCAUUUUCGAGGAGAAAUAAUCAACUCGGAUAAAAUGCAAGUUUACAAGUGACUUGAAAUUGUUACAAACAAGAUCACACACACUAAGAAACAAGGUGUACAACACUAUUUGGUGAAAUUGGUCAUGAUUUAGAUUUCACAGCUGAAGAUUUUUGUUUGGAAGUUGUUGUCUAUAUGGAAAAAAUAAUGAAGACUCAACGUGUUCCAAUUAUUGAUGGAGGGUCAAAUUCGUAUCUAGAAAAACUUGUGGAAGACCCUGUGGUCAUGUUCAAAUAUAAGAACGAUAGUUGCUUUAUUUGGAUUGAUGUUGAGCAAUAAGUAUUGAACCGCAGAGUUGACAUGAGGGAUGAUCAAAUGCAAGCACGGCUAAUGGAUGAGGUGAGGCAGAUUUUCAUUCCAGAUAUAGAUUACACCAAAGGAAUCCGACUGUAACGACCCUCUUAGUCGUUUUAUGAAUUUUACUCAUUUUUCUAAGUUUAAUCCUUUUAGUAAUUUUUAUAAAUAAUUUAU